rnacentral:miRNA from 1 species
CACUAGCAAGGGAAAACCUGA